GAAUUCAGACACACACAACCGCUCCAGCCGAAGCUCCUAGCCGCCAGCAACGCCAUGCGUUCUUCGGCAACCCUCCUGCACCGCAGCAUGGCCGUCACAGCCGGCCCCGGCGAACCAUCUUCGUCGCCUUCCUCGCUGCCGCCGCCUCAUCCGGAGCAGCAGCAGACGGGGCCAGUGACGCCGGUCGACUCGGACAUGGCUAUCAUCUUGGCGUCUCUGCUCUGCGCUCUCGUCUGCGUCCUCGGCCUCGCCCUUGUCUCCCGAUGCGCAUGCCGACGCCGACGCUCCAGCUCCACUUCCUCCUCCAAGGGCCUCAAGAAGAAGGCCAUCGACGCGCUCCGCAGGGUCUCCUUCGCCGCGGCCGGCGCACAGUCAUCAUCAUCAUCAGUGGCGGCAUGCUCGUCGCCGUUGGAGUGCGCGAUAUGCCUCGCGGAGUUCACCGACGGAGAGAGUGUGCGCGUGCUCCCGCACUGCGGCCACAACUUCCACGUGGCCUGCGUCGACGCCUGGCUCCGCACGUGCGCCACAUGCCCCUCCUGCCGCACCCCCAUCGUCGCCACACCAGCUCAGCAGCUGGUGGCGCCAACGAUGGUUGUGGUGGUGGUUGCGGAAAACAACAGGUGCGGGAGGUGCUGCGAGGUGGCAGCGCCGGCUGGUGGUGGGGAUAGCACGUUCUUGCUGUAG
rnacentral:rRNA from 1 species